AAUAAUGUCGGCUAUAGUCGGAGAAAUUUCUUCUUUUGCAUACUUAAAGUGUUUGGCUGAGAUUCCAUUGGCGUCGGCAGCUUUUCCGGUGUAUAAAAGAGGGGAACUUCUGCGGGUGGCUCUGCUAAUCCAGCUGAGUCCGCCACCCUCGAGCCGGACGUAUUCCACACUGCUGGGAUUGCUGUCUUCUCCAAGAUGCAGCGGUCUUGUCAACCGCUGUUUAUCGUCGAGAGUUCGCUACCCGGACCUGCCAGAGGUCCCGUCUGUAGAAGGACGGGAACAACGGGACAGCGAGAUCACCAGUGUGGAGGACAUACGGGGCGGACCUUGGACUAGGCUCUUCAUUUUCGGCCUGAUACUGCAGUCCAAGAACAUCGAGGGGGUGGCCUUAUAGAGGGACCCCGGGGCGGCGGUACUCAGUGCGCUCAACGCACUGGGGAAACCGUCUCGGGGAUGAAGACGACGGCUGGUGACAUCGAGAGUGGCCAUAAAGGCAGAGCUGCUUGCUGCACUCCCUUGGUGGAGCUGCGUCCAGACAAGAAUUUGUCUUGAAAUUGUCUACUACCAGUGCACAUUAAGGUCUCAUUGGCCACCGUGCACUGGUCUAUUUGGAUCCAAAUUAUAUCUUUGGCGAAUACCCGGGCAGCCGGGGUAAAUUUGACCUACUUUGGCUCAAAAUUAAUCUUUUUCUCCUGAAAGGUCACAGGGGCAGGUCCGCACAUAAGGCAGUCGUGAAGACGCAGCGAGACCUGUAAAUAAACUCUGACAUUCACACUAUUUGGUACAUUCAGGUCGAGCUACAAAGACCUCGUGAAGAGGCCAGUAGGACCUGUAAAUAAACUCUAAUACACACACAUAUUUGGUAUAUUUCAUGAUCACAAAAUCUCCGUUCUGUACGGUAUAAAAAUCAGAUCUUUAUAAAUUAUUUAGAUCUUACUGUCAGAUCUUCUCCAUUCUGAAAAUGGUAAGCUAUUUUACAAGUUAAAAUUAACUUUACAUCUUUGGUUUUUUACAGUAUUAACUACAGUAAAUAACGAUCCAUCUUAUGAAGUCCAGAGAGCUCUGCUCCUAUAAAUAUGAGGUGGAUAUACAUCGAUAGAUUACGUCUAAUGAUUUGGACUAAGAGAGCCCAAGAAUUUAUCUGCGGUAUAUAGAAAAUACUUGUCAUAAGAUCUGUGUUUAACGUCUGCAUUGAAGUGCUUUUAGAAACAUGUCGACUUUAUAUUACAUUAAUAGUAUUUGCAAAUAAAAGAAAUUGAAAACAUUAA